AACUUUUCAACCAAUUCAAAGAGAUUUUGCAAUUUUGUUGUGGUUAAAAUUGCUGCACACGGUGAACACUGUCGGCCCACAUUGGCUUCACGAAGUAUAUAACAUGAUAUAAAGGGUUAUUGACAUCAUGAAUCAACAGAACUUCUGGUUUGUAUGAAACAGUAUGGAACAGCCUCAACAUACUCAAUAAUACUUGGUCCCCAUUUCUAUAUUCAGAUUUAUAGUAUAUACAAACACAAA